AAAUUAUUAUUUUAUUAAAGUUCAAAUAUUAUCCACACGACUUUAUUAGAAAACAACGUUGGAAAAAAUACAUUUGGAAUACUUAUCAACAUUAAAACGUGUUCUAAAUCUUCACUGUUACAGUAUUUUUUAAAGGUAUCACAAACACCAAACACCUUUAUCUGCCAUAUAUAUAGAGCAGAUAAAGGUUUUUAUAUAUCAUUUGGCUUACAUUUUAUUUUGCAUUUCAUAUACAACAUAUACAUAACCACAACUAAAUGCAUUUCUUAAUGUCUUAAAUCCCCCCCGACACUCCAAGUCAUUAAAAAAAAAUCUUCAUUCACAUUUUAACUCACAGAACAAACAAUAAUCAGAUUUUUUUUUUUAA